rnacentral:tRNA from 1 species
GGGCCUAUAGUUCAAUGGAUAGAAUGACAGGUUUCGGCCCUGUUGAUCGAGGUUCAAGUCCUCGUAGGCCCA